CAGCAGCAGCCGCGGGAAUACAGAGGGUGCGAGCGUUAAUCGGAUUUACUGGGCGUAAAGCGUGCGUAGGCGGCUUUUUAAGUCGGAUGUGAAAUCCCUGAGCUUAACUUAGGAAUUGCAUUCGAUACUGGGAAGCUAGAGUAUGGGAGAGGAUGGUAGAAUUCCAGGUGUAGCGGUGAAAUGCGUAGAGAUCUGGAGGAAUACCGAUGGCGAAGGCAGCCAUCUGGCCUAAUACUGACGCUGAGGUACGAAAGCAUGGGGAGCAAACAGGAUUAGAGACCCCUGUAGUCCCUGUCUCUUAUAC
rnacentral:rRNA from 1 species